UACGGAGGAUGCGAGCGUUAUCCGGAUUUAUUGGGUUUAAAGGGUGCGCAUGUUGUUUGAUAAGUCAGUGGUGAAAGUCUGUCGCUUAACGGUAGGAUUGCCAUUGAUACUGUUAGACUUGAAUAUGGAUGAGGUAGGCGGAAUGUGUAGUGUAGCGGUGAAAUGCAUAGAUAUUACACAGAACACCGAUUGCGAAGGCAGCUUACUAAUCCAUCAUUGACGCUGAGGCACGAAAGCGUGGGGAUCAAA
rnacentral:rRNA from 1 species